AAUAAUAAUAAUAAUAAUAAUGUGAAUUCAAGUUUCCAAACAGGCAAAAUGAGAAAACUUCGAGUGCGACUAUAAAACAAGAAGAAAAUUCAGACAAGAAUAAGACACUUGACUGUAGCAAAAAUUCAAGAAACAUCUUAUUCUAAGUCAGAAGAAAGAUAUUGUAAAAGGUUACAACCACAAAUAAAAUGAUAACCCAUGAUAACAGCUAGUCUACAUCAUGAAUCUGGAGGCAUGAAAGAAAACUAAGUAAAAUGGUGUUUCCAAAAAUUGUUAUGCACUGAAAUAAACAAUAUAUAAGAUCUGGCAACACCAAUCUGGUUAAAAUCCUCAAAAAAGUGAAAAAUCAGGCCAUAGAAAGGUACAUAUUUUCUAAAACACCAAUGGUUGAUAAAGAAAUGCACGCCAAAAUGUGGGACAUAUAUCACCAUUAGAACACCGAAGAACACAGGCCACAGGUAUUUGCUCAUAAAAAACAAGAAAAAAGUUUCUCAAUGCUAAAAGCACAUUUAGCAAUGCAGUUUUUGAAACAUUUAGAAAAAAACAUUAUCAACAAGAAGUAGUACCCUGAGUUUCCAAGGGCAAAGUGAUGUUUGCUGAAAUUUCAAACCACUCAUUUUCCAAGCAUGAAGAAAAUGCAUUUAUCACCAAAAAAAAUACAAAAGCUGAUUUCCAAAGGAGAAAAAAAAAGGACAGUCAAUUGUACCUUCUAAUGCAAUCCCUCUUGUAGCAUUUAUGCAAUAUCUCUUCUUAAUGCUAUUCAUCACUUUCUUAAGCACCAAGAUAAAAUACAUAAUAAUCUUGACCAAAGAGCCAUACAUCAUUUUCUAAGUAAAUUACAGGAAAACAAGACCACAAUAAUCCAGAUGUGAAGAAUCCUACAGCACCACAAAUAGCAGAAGCGUAUAAAAUAGGAACCCAGUAGACUCCUUCUGACCAUCAAAUUCUUCUCAGUAACCAAACAAGCAAUAGAUAUAUUACAGUAGAUCCAAAUUCCUCUAAGGUGGGAAGACAAAACUCGUUGUGCAAGAAGAUACAAGAAAAAGGAGUCAAAACCUUGAACAGAGCCCAUCUCUUUCUCAACCUUAGCUUGCAUCUCGCGAAGAGCCGCCGCUUCCUCCUCCAUCUCCUUCAACCUCUUCUUCAUCUCAUCCAGCUCCUGCAACAUUACACCCACAUAGAGUGGUGAUAAUCAUAAAUCAAUACAAGAAAGUUAAGUAAAUAGCUUUUCGAAUAUAGAAACAUCUAAGAUCGAUUAAAUCACUAGGGUUUUUAUCGUCUCUAUGCAAAAUUCAAACUGAAAGAGAUAGGACCUUGACGGCGUCUUCAUCGGCGGCGGACAUGUCGACGUCGGCGUUGUGAGAGUCCAUAUCGCCUUCCACGUCAGGAAUCUCCCCCCCGUACACCUCAUGCUCUUCUUCCUCCAUAUCUGUGGCUCCGAUUAGAUGUUUCCAGAAGCAAGAAAAU
rnacentral:misc_RNA from 1 species